rnacentral:rRNA from 1 species
CGCACUACCUUCGGGUAAAACCAACUCCCAUGGUGUGACGGGCGGUGUGUACAAGGCCCGGGAACGUAUUCACCGCAGCAUGCUGAUCUGCGAUUACUAGCGAUUCCAACUUCAUGCACUCGAGUUGCAGAGUGCAAUCCGAACUGAGAUGGCUUUUGGAGAUUAGCUCGACAUCGCUGUCUCGCUGCCCACUGUCACCACCAUUGUAGCACGUGUGUAGCCCAGCCCGUAAGGGCCAUGANGACUUGACGUCAUCCCCACCUUCCUCUCGGCUUAUCACCGGNAGUCCCCUUAGAGUGCCCAACUAAAUGGCUGGCAACUGGCGGCGAGGGUUGC